rnacentral:lncRNA from 1 species
CUUUUUUACAAAUUUCCCAUCCGGUCUUGAGCAAUCCAAGAUAUGGUAAUUGGUCAGGAGCUCUUUUACCUUGAAAAAUCAUACAAUUACCUCAUGGNGAGUUAGCCGCACCCACGAAUGAUAUAAAUACUACCGUUGCUUUGGCUUUACUCACGUUAGUGGCAUAUUUCUAUGUGGGUCUUAACAAAAAAGGAUUAAGUUAUUUCGGGAAAUAUAUUCAACCAACUCCAAUCCUUUUACCCAUUAACAUCUUAGAAGAUUUCACAAAGCCCUUAUCACUUAGUUUUCGACUUUUCAGGAAUAUAAGCAUCACAUGUCAUGUACAUUUUUGAACGUAAUUUUCCUCCAGUGGUGCUGUAUUGU